GCCAGGCUAGUGCAGGCCUGUUGAGCAGUGGGCAUAUCAUCGGCCCGUCCCAUGGUGUAGUCAUUGGCGUGCGUUGGCGUGGUGGCGUGUGCGGCUGCGCUAGCUGGCCUGCCAAUGCGUCAUCGGGGCGGAGCGUGAGCAUGCAUGAUGAGCCCCGAAAGAUUGUGAACUAUGCUUGCGUAGGUUGAAACCAGAGGAAACUCUGGUGGAGGACCGUAGCGAUUCUGGCGUGCAAAUCGAUCGCCAAACGUGGGUAUAGGGGCGAAAGACUAAUCGAACCGUCUAGUAGCUGGUUCCCUCCGAAGUUUCCCUCAGGAUAGCCCGCACUCAUUAACAUGAUCAGUUUUAUCCGGUAAAGCGAAUAAUUAGAGGUGCUGAGCUCGAAACGAGCUCAACCUAUUCUCAAACUUUAAAUGGGUGAGAUUUCCAACUCGCUUCAUACGCGUGUAUUGCUGUAGGUGGAGUUGGGCGUUGAAUGUGCGGGUGCCAAGUGGGCCAUUUUUGGUAAGCAGAACUGGCGCUGUGGGAUGAACCGAACGCCCGGUUAAGGUUCCUAACGCUGACGCCCAUGAGAUACCACAAAAGGUGUUGGUUAAUACAGACAGCAGGUCGGUAGACAUGGAAGUCGGCAUCCGCUGAGGAGUGUGUAACAACUCACCUGCCGAAUUGACUAGCCCUGAAAAUGGAUGGCUCUGGAGCGUCGGACCUACACCGGGCCGUCAUCGCAAGCUGAAUUGCUGGCUGUAACAGCCUCGUGCGUGCGUACGUGUUUGCGUCAUGGUCCAGGCGUGGAGUGCGAUGCCGAGUAGGAGGGUCGCCGUGGUGAGCGUGGUAGCCGCAGACGUGAGUCAGGGUAGGACCGCCACGGGUGCAGAUCUUGGUGGUAGUAGCAAAUAUUCAAGUGAGAAUCUUGAGGGCCGACGUGGAGAGAGGUUCCAUGGGAACAGCAGUUGGCCAUGGGUCAGGCGAUCCUGAGUAAUCCGGUGACCCGGUGCAGAGUCGUGGGGCGCCUUGCAUGAGUGCGUGCAUGCGUGCAUAGGUGUGGUGUGGUUUGUUGGCAGCCCCCUGGAGCGAAAGGGAAUCUGGUUAACACUCCCGACCCUGCUCACGGAGAUGCGUGGUGGUCGGUCGGUCGGUCGGUCGGUCGGUCGGUCGGUCGGUCGGUCGGUCGGUCGGUCGGUCGGUCGGUCGGUCGGUCUAUCAUUCGUUCGACACGGGCGGCGUCGUCAGACGCGGUGACACAAACGAACUCGGAGACGUCUGCAAGAGUUCCAGGGAGAGUUUUCUUUUCUUUGCAAGGGGGAAUUAUUGCCCCUGGAAUCAGGUUGUCCGGAGAUAAAGGUAUCGCCUCCGUAGAGCAUCACUUCACUUGUGGUGUCCGGAACGCUCAUGUGGGCCCUUGAAAAUCUGAAGUAGGCAGUGCUAUUUUCGUGGCAGGCCGUACCCAUAUCCGCAUCAAGUCUCCAAGGUGAAGAGCCUCUGGCA
rfam:Echinococcus multilocularis genomic scaffold, pathogen_EmW_scaffold_05